rnacentral:rRNA from 1 species
GACGGGGGAUGCAAGUGUUUUCCGGAAUCACUGGGCGUAAAGCGUCUGUAGGUGGUGAUGCAAGUCACUGGUGCAAAACUCUGGCUCAACCGGAGGAAAGCCAGUGAAACUGCAUGACUAGAGUGUGGGAGAGGUAGAAGGAAUUCCCUGAGUAGCGGUGAAAUGCGUAGAUACAGGGAAGAACACCGGAGGCGAAAGCGUUCUACUGGAACACAACUGACACUGAGAGACGAAAGCUAGGGGAGCGAAGGGG